rnacentral:rRNA from 1 species
UACGUAGGGUGCGAGCGUUGUCCGGAAUUAUUGGGCGUAAAGAGCUCGUAGGCGGUCUGUCGCGUCGGUCGUGAAAACUUGGGGCUUAACCCUGAGCUUGCGGUCGAUACGGGCAUGACUGGAGUUCGGCAGGGGAGACUGGAAUUCCUGGUGUAGCGGUGAAAUGCGCAGAUAUCAGGAGGAACACCGGUGGCGAAGGCGGGGUCUCUGGGCCGGAACUGACGCUGGAGGAGCGAAAGCCGGUGGGGAGCGAACAGGA